rnacentral:lncRNA from 1 species
UAGGGUUUAAAACCCUAAUGCCGAACAAAGGAAGAAUUCAGUUUAGGGUUUAAAACCCUAAUGCUGGCUAAAGGAAAAAUUCAGUUUAGGGUUUAAAACCUUAAUGCUGAUUGCAUGGAGAAGCUCAGUUUAAGGUUUAAAACCCUGAUGCUGGCUGAAUGGAAAAAGUUCCGUUUAGGGUUUAAAACCCUAAUGCUGGCUAAAAGGAAAAUUCAGUUUAGGGUUUAAAAACCCUAAUGCUGAUUACAUGGAAAAACUCAGUUUAGGGUUUAAAAUCCUAAUGCUGGCUGAAUGGAAAAAGUUCAGUUUAGGGUUUAAAACCCUAAUGUUGACUGAAUGGAAAAAGUUCAGUUUAGGGUUUAAAACCCUGAUGCUGACUAAAAGGAAAAUUCAGUUUAGGGUUUAAAACCCUAAUGUUGAUUACAUGGAAAAGCUUAGUUUAGGGUUUAAAACCCUAAUGCUGGCUGAAGGAAAAAUUCAGUUUAGGGUUUAAAACCCUAAUGCUGAUUACAUGGAAAAGCUCAGUUUAGGGUUUAAAACCCUAAUGCUGGCUGAAUGGAAAAAGUUCAGUCUAGGGUUUAAAACCCUAAUGCUGACUGAAUGGAAAAAGCUCAGUUUAGGGUUUAAAACCCUAAUGCUGGCUGAAGGAAAAAUUCAGUUUAGGGUUUAAAACCCUAAUGCUGAUUACAUGGAAAAGCUCAGUUUAGGGUUUAAAACCCUAAUGCUGGCUGAAUGGAAAAAGUUCAGUUUAGGGUUUAAAACCCUAAUGCUGACUGAAUGGAAAAAGUUCAGUUUAGGGUUUAAAACCCUAAUGCUGACUAAAAGGAAAAUUCAGUUUAGGGUUUAAAACCCUAAUGCUGAUUACAUGGAAAAGCUCAGUUUAGGGUUUAAAACCCUAAUGCUGGCUGAAGGAAAAAUUCAGUUUAGGGUUUAAAACCCUAAUGCUGAUU